rnacentral:tmRNA from 1 species
UGCAGGUGGAGUGUCUAGCUCCUGAUUAGGCAAAAACUUUAACUGCCAACAACGACAGUUACGAUUACGCCUUAGCUGCGUAACCGCGUGGAACCCUUCCGCCGCCUUGAGGAAGGACUUCCGCGUCACAAUCAAGGCUGGCCGUGUUCCUGGCGCCGGACGGGGCACGGUAAGAUUUAAACGGAUACGGAUGGACCGCGUGCCGGCCAGCCAAGUUCAUCCCGACAAUACAAUGGACGGCUAAACCUGUAGAGGCUUGUGUUUCGCGCAUCAGGACGCGGGUUCGACUCCCGCCACCUCCAAAA